AUGACAUCCGACAAAAUCCAGGCAGAGUGGUCCAGAGCACUGGGAAUAGGAAUAAUACAAAAACAUGAACGCUGCCAUGACUGCGAUUGACCUCAAAGAGGAAGGACAAAGCCAGUAUUUCUUUUCCUCAAUAGACCCAAAGCCAUUAAUUGAUCAAAAGCUUUGAUGUUUGUUUCUACUGAAAGUUUCAGUUUUUAGGAUUUUUUUUUUUUUAAGGUGAUCACUGGCCUUUGGGCUCACCAAAGAGGAGCCAAAGGAUUUUGUGAUUCUUGUUAAUAGCUGAACAGACUGUAUUUAUGAAUCCCCCUAGAAAAGAGGGACAGAAGGCAGUGGGUCUUAAAUAAUGUAUUAAAUACGAAGGAUGGGUUUUCUUUUUCAGAAGGGAAAACUUGUGAUAUUACUGAAUUUAUUGAUGAAGUUCUGCACCAAAAUUUAAAAAGAAAAUAACAUAGAGGAAAAAAAAUGGAAGUAAAAGCUCUGUGCAUAAUUGUUUUCAUGUGUCCAAAGAUUUUGGUCCUGAUGAAGACAGGAGAAAUAAUAGACUCAUCAUGACUGUUGGAACAAAAUCUGUCCAUAAGCAGGACUGUUUGAAUGUGGCCAAAAGGAGCAGCACAUCCCAGCCCAGAUGCCGUGACUGGUUGCAAACCUCCCUUAGCCUGGAAAGAGGUCCUGGCAUCUGACAGGGCUGAGGACUAGCUCAACCUUGGUAGAAAAGGCUACAGAUAAAGGAGAUGAAUCCCACCCCAAAAGGUGGGAACAGCAGAGUGAAGGUGACGCAGAGGGUCACUGGAAAGACCCCUCAGUCUCCAGCUCUGGAGGAUGACUGACCUGAAAUAACUGUUCCACCAGUGAGAUGAAGAUGUUGGACCUGUGAACAUGAGGCUCCAUGAGCCUUAGCAUGGGCAGACCUGACCGUCUACCAGAAAAACUUUGAUUUCUUGCAGAAAUGAGUAUGGAAACACACAGACAUAUGGACACUGUGCCCAAGCUGAAAAAUUUGAUCCAGAAUAACACUAAAAGAAUAUCUCUGGGCAGGGAACACAAUGUUGUCCAGCUGAAUUGUUUCCCAGGGCAGAGGCAGUACUGGCAGAGGUCCUCUGUAGAGGCUGAUGACCACAAAGCUGGUUAGCUGAAUCACUGCCCACCUCCUUGUGUGAUGCCCUGCCAGCUUUGAUCUCCAGAGCCGAUAGCCCCCCUGGCUGAGCAGCUGCUCACAGGGAAUUUUCCAAGAGGGCUCUUGUCUCCGUGCUCGUUAGCCCUUCUGAGCUCAUUAGCCCCUCUUGGCCCAAAGCUGCCAAGGCCCAGUGACAUUUACUGCUAGACGGAAGACCCACCCAUUACGUGGCCCGUCUAGUGAAGGAUGAGUUUAAGGAACUCAUGGCUUAAUAUAUCUGUGUGUUGACUUUGGGUAGCCAGCUGGAGUCAUUUGGGGAAUAAUGCCAUGUGCAUUAAUGAUGACUUUGUACUUUGCACAAGAAGUGAGCUAGAGGCGGAUAAACGGGGGAGUCGGCUAUGACGCCAAAAGAAAAACUCAGGUCCCAACAUCGUUUUUUUCCACAUGAAUAACACCAGAGCAUGUGUUCAGGCAGG